AGUGAACGCUGGCGGUAGGCCUAACACAUGCAAGUCGAACGGCAGCACAGUAAGAGCUUGCUCUUACGGGUGGCGAGUGGCGGACGGGUGAGGAAUACAUCGUACUCUACUUUUUCGUGGGGGAUAACGUAGGGAAACUUACUCUAAUACCGCAUACGACCUACGGGUGAAAGCAGGGGAUCUUCGGACCUUGCGCGAUUGAAUGAGCCGAUGUCGGAUUAGCUAGUUGGCGGGGUAAAGGCCCACCAAGGCGACGAUCCGUAGCUGGUCUGAGAGGAGGAUCAGCGACACUGGAACGGGGACACGGACCAGACUCCUACGGGAGGCAGCAGAGGGGAAUAUUGGACAAUGGGCGCAAGCAUGACCCAGCCAUACCGCGUGGGAGAAGAAGGCGUUCGGGUUGUAAAGCCCGUUUGUGGGGAAAGAAAAGCAGCAGGUUAAUACCCCGCUGUUCUGACGGUAACCAAUGAAGAAGCACCGGCUAACUUCGUG
rnacentral:rRNA from 1 species